GGAGGGUGUAGCUCAAGUGGUAGAGUGCAUGCUUGUCAUGCGUGAGGUCCUGAGUUCAAUCCCCAGCACCUCCU